GUGAUUGUGGAAGUCAAAGUCUUUGUUACAUCAAUUGUUUUUGUGGUGUCAGACAGAGUUGUGGUUGCUGCAUCAGUUGUUGACGCUGGUGCUACAGUUGAGGAUGUUGGAGGGGUGGUUGUGGAACCAAAAUUGUUGUUGUUGCAUCAAUAGUUGUUGUGGUGUCAGGCA